rnacentral:rRNA from 1 species
AGCUUGCUCCCGGAUGUUAGCGGCGGACGGGUGAGUAACACGUGGGUAACCUGCCUGUAAGACUGGGAUAACUCCGGGAAACCGGAGCUAAUACCGGAUAGUUCCUUGAACCGCAUGGUUCAAGGAUGAAAGACGGUUUCGGCUGUCACUUACAGAUGGACCCGCGGCGCAUUAGCUAGUUGGUGAGGUAACGGCUCACCAAGGCGACGAUGCGUAGCCGACCUGAGAGGGUGAUCGGCCACACUGGGACUGAGACACGGCCCAGACUCCUACGGGAGGCAGCAGUAGGGAAUCUUCCGCAAUGGACGAAAGUCUGACGGAGCAACGCCGCGUGAGUGAUGAAGGUUUUCGGAUCGUAAAGCUCUGUUGUUAGGGAAGAACAAGUGCAAGAGUAACUGCUUGCACCUUGACGGUACCUAACCAGAAAGCCACGGCUAACUACGUGCCAGCAGCCGCGGUAAUACGUAGGUGGCAAGCGUUGUCCGGAAUUAUUGGGCGUAAAGGGCUCGCAGGCGGUUUCUUAAGUCUGAUGUGAAAGCCCCCGGCUCAACCGGGGAGGGUCAUUGGAAACUGGGAAACUUGAGUGCAGAAGAGGAGAGUGGAAUUCCACGUGUAGCGGUGAAAUGCGUAGAGAUGUGGAGGAACACCAGUGGCGAAGGCGACUCUCUGGUCUGUAACUGACGCUGAGGAGCGAAAGCGUGGGGAGCGAACAGGAUUAGAUACCCUGGUAGUCCACGCCGUAAACGAUGAGUGCUAAGUGUUAGGGGGUUUCCGCCCCUUAGUGCUGCAGCUAACGCAUUAAGCACUCCGCCUGGGGAGUACGGUCGCAAGACUGAAACUCAAAGGAAUUGACGGGGGCCCGCACAAGCGGUGGAGCAUGUGGUUUAAUUCAAAGCAACGCGAAGAACCUUACCAGGUCUUGACAUCCUCUGACAACCCUA